rnacentral:rRNA from 1 species
AUUGAACGCUGGCGGCAUGCCUUACACAUGCAAGUCGAACGGUAGCGGGCCUUCGGGUGCCGACGAGUGGCGAACGGGUGAGUAAUGUAUCGGAACGUACCUUUCAGUGGGGGAUAACGUAGCGAAAGUUACGCUAAUACCGCAUAUUCUGUGAGCAGGAAAGCAGGGGAUCGCAAGACCUUGCGCUGAUUGAGCGGCCGAUAUCAGAUUAGCUAGUUGGUGAGGUAAAGGCUCACCAAGGCGACGAUCUGUAGCGGGUCUGAGAGGAUGAAUCGCAACACUGGAGCGGAGAUACGUUCCAGACUCAUAAGGGGGGCAUCAGUGGGGAAUUUUGGACAAUGGGGGCAACCCUGAUCCAGCCAUACCGCGUGAGUGAAGAAGGCCUUCGGGUUGUAAAGCUCUUUCGGCCGGGAAGAAAUCGUAUCAGCUAAUACCUGGUGCGGAUGACGGUACCGGCAUAAGAAGCACCGGAUAACUACGUGCCAGCAGCCGCGGUAAGAC